UACGGGGGGGGCAAGCGUUGUUCGGAAUUACUGGGCGUAAAGGGCUCGUAGGUGGCCAACUAAGUCAGACGUGAAAUCCCUCGGCUUAACCGGGGAACUGCCUCUGAUACUGGAUGGCUUGAGUUUGGGAGAGGGAUGCGGAAUUCCAGGUGUAGCGGUGAAAUGCGUAGAGAUCCGGAGGAAGACCGGUGGCGAAGGCGGUCUGCUGGGCAGUUUCUGACACUGAGGCGCGACAGCGUGGGGAGCAAACAGG
rnacentral:rRNA from 1 species